rnacentral:piRNA from 1 species
UGGUAUGAGCGCCCUUAAAAGGCAUUCGCUGC